UUUUUCUUUGAUUGUGAGGCAUAUUUAUCUUUCACAGUUAAUAUCUAAAACGUUACAAAUUUUAUCAUCCAUAUGUAUGUAUUACAAGUGAAUGCCAUUAUUUUAUUAAUGUUAUCAUCCAUAUGUAUGAUAGAUGGAGGCAGACUUAUUUUCCACCUUUAUGCACCAUCUUUCUACAAAAGGCAAGUUUAUUUCAAAAUUUGAAAAUAAUUACGUGUAAUGAUUUGGUCGGUUUGUAAUGUAUAUAUUAUCUUCUCUUUUUUUUCAGGAUACAUACCACUAGCUUUGGACUUCGUCAUAGUAUUGAAAUUUUCAGAGCGCAUAAAUAUUUGCCCCUAUCCCAAGAAAUACUCAAUAAUUACUUUUGGGAGGUAUGUUUGAUAUUUAUAUUUAAAUUUUUGAUUGAUUUGUUGAAAAUAAUUGAUAAACAUACAUGACUAAUUAUUCACAAUAACAAGAACUUUUUAGUUUAAAGGAAUCAUAAUAUGAAUCAUGCUUCACAAGUUCUAAAAAAUUACUUUCCAAAUUUAGUCACUUAAAAUUCUUCAAAAAAUAAGUUUACAAAAUUAGUCAUAAAGAAUUUGAAAUAAGAUU
rnacentral:lncRNA from 1 species